UACGUAGGGUGCAAGCGUUAAUCGGAAUUACUGGGCGUAAAGCGUGCGUAGGUGGUUUGUUAAGUCUGUUGUGAAAGCCCCGGGCUCAACCUGGGAAUGGCAAUGGAUACUGGCAGGCUAGAGUGCGGUAGAGGGUAGUGGAAUUUCCGGUGGAGCGGUGAAAUGCGUAGAGAUCGGAAAGAACACCAACGGCGAAAGCACUCUGCUGGGCCGACACUGACACUGAGAGACGAAAGCUAGGGGAGCGAAUGGG
rnacentral:rRNA from 1 species